rnacentral:sRNA from 1 species
GCAGAAUUCAGUGAAUCAUCGAAUCUUUGAACGCAAAUGGCGCUCUUGGGUUCUCCCAGGAGCAUGUCUGUCUGAGUGUCUUUUUCGUUGAAUGACAUUCGCACGAUGUGGCCGUGUCAUGCACUGGCGUUUCGUGCGGCGUUGAGGUUCGCGGCCUUGCUAUUCUUAGGCCGCGUGCCUUUAAAUGGAGGAGGAAGAUGGGCUCAAGGUCCGGUGCAGUCGCAUGCGGAUUCAGUUCAUGUGCCGCAUGUGACUGCUGCAUCGGGAAUAUUGUCCUCGGCCCUCUACCUCGUGACCUUUAGCACGACGCUCGUUCGUUCGUUGCUUGCCGCCAGACCUCAGAUCAGGCAAGGCUACCCGCUGAAUUUAAGCAUAUCAAUAAGCGGAGGAAAAGAAACUAACAAGGAUUCCCCCAGUAACGGCGAGUGAAGCGGGAAGAGCUCAAAUUUGAAAUCUCCGAUGCCUGCAUCGGCGAGUUGUAGUUGCGAGAAGCACUUUCUAGGCGGAAGGGCCCUGCCUAAGUUGCUUGGAACAGCACGUCGCAGAGGGUGACAACCCCGUCU